GGAUGUAGCUCAGUUGUUAGAGUGCCUGCCUUGUAUGAAGAAGGUCCUGGGUUCAAUCCCAGCACCA
rnacentral:tRNA from 1 species